UCGGGAAUUUUGCUCAAUGGGCGAAAGCCUGAAGCAGCAACGCCGCGUGAGGGAUGAAGGCCUUCGGGUCGUAAACCUCUUUUGCCGAGGACGAUAAUGACGGUACUCGGUGAAUAAGCCACGGCUAACUACGUGCCAGCAGCCGCGGUAAUACGUAGGUGGCAAGCGUUGUCCGGAUUUACUGGGCGUAAAGAGCGCGCAGGCGGUCGUAUAAGUCGAAUGUGAAAGCCCCCGGCUCAACUGGGGAGGGUCAUUCGAUACUGUUCGACUCGAAGGCAGGAGAGGGAAGUGGAAUUCCGGGUGUAGUGGUGAAAUGCGUAGAUAUCCGGAGGAACACCAGUGGCGAAGGCGACUUUCUGGCCUGUUCUUGACGCUGAGGCGCGAAAGCUAGGGGAGCAAACGGG
rnacentral:rRNA from 1 species